CUUAAAUGGGAUCCACAAGAUAUCGCAAAUUUUCCAAAAAGGAAUUGGAUAAACCUCCUACUUUCCUUCCUUCUCGAGUUUAGAGUAGGUGUUAUGAGGGGAAGAUGUUAUGUGAAAGGUGGGGUUAUUUCACCAUUUGCUCUUGCUAAGAUCGAAUGGCCCUCGAGAUGAUAUGGAUUUACCACGCUUACACAAUAGAUUAACAUGUGUAAUCCACAUCACGGAUGCAAGCAACUGCCUGACACGAAGGCUUAUGUCGUUCAGGUGGAAAAUGGUCCAGGUUCCAAAGGAACUUUACAGAUAUAAAACCAAGCAGAAGGAAGAAAAAGGGCAGCCCGAGGCAGUAAGCUCCCACUUAGUUAUAAGUGGAAAGAACAUCAAAUAACCAUAUAGGAAUGAGUUCACUUGGAUAUUUUUGGUCGAGUCGCUGGACCAGAGCACUAUUUCAAAAAAGUAACUCACUGAUCAACUCUCAAGCAAUGCAGCAUCAAGUAGCCACAACUGCAGGAAAAUUAGAGAGUCAAGUCGUCAGAGGCGAAUACAGGAUUCUAACUUGGACGGUUUUAACUUUUAGAUGCUUGCUGUUGAACCCAUUACACUUUUGAAAUUACGAGUUCAACUUAAAAUCUGUUGAAAUGAUGGUGAUACUUGUCAGUUAAGUUGCUAUAUUGACUAAAGACACACUACAUAAACAGACACUCAAACGUGACCUCAAUUGGCAAGUAAGCACUCAAACUUUGAGAGUGCACAUCUAGACACCUCAACUUGAUUUCAACUAACAACUGAACACUCCAACUCAUCCCCAUUGUGUCUCGUGGACACCCGUUGCUGACUGACACAUACAUUUUGGAGGUGUGUAGAUGAUCAUUUUGUUAACUGGAGUGAUCAACUGAUACAGUGGGGAUGAGUUAAGAUGUCUACAUGUGCAUACUCGAAGUUUGAGUGAUUACUUGCCAAAUGAGGCCAAGUUUGGAUGUAUGUUUAUGUACUAUGCCUUGACUAAAUACUUCAUCUGCCUCUGGUGCCACGGGCUUUUGUCUUUUGACUUCUCACAGAUGCUCCACAAUCUUGGUUAUAAGUGGCAAGCAACUCCCAGAUAGUUAUUCUUUUGAACAUUUUCA